AACGAACGCUGGCGGCAGGCUUAACACAUGCAAGUCGAGCGCCCCGCAAGGGGAGCGGCAGACGGGUGAGUAACGCGUGGGAAUCUACCCAUCUCUACGGAAUAACGCAUGGAAACGUGUGCUAAUACCGUAUACGUCCUUCGGGAGAAAGAUUUAUCGGAGAUGGAUGAGCCCGCGUUGGAUUAGCUAGUUGGUGGGGUAAAGGCCUACCAAGGCGACGAUCCAUAGCUGGUCUGAGAGGAUGAUCAGCCACACUGGGACUGAGACACGGCCCAGACUACUACGGGAGGCAGCAGUGGAAAAUAUUGGACAAUGGGCGCAAGCCUGAUCCAGCCAUGCCGCGUGAGUGAUGAAGGCCCGAGGGUUGUAAAGCUCUUUCACCGGUGAAGAUAAUGACGGUAACCGGAGAAGAAGCCCCGGCUAACUUCGUGCCAGCCGCCGCAGUAAAAC
rnacentral:rRNA from 1 species